rnacentral:rRNA from 1 species
AAUCCUGGCUCAGGAUGAACGCUAGCUACAGGCUUAACACAUGCAAGUCGAGGAGCAGCAUGGUCUUAGCUUGCUAAGGCUGAUGGCGACCGGCGCACGGGUGAGUAACACGUAUCCAACCUGCCGUCUACUCUUGGCCAGCCUUCUGAAAGGAAGAUUAAUCAAGGAUGGGAUCAUGAGUUCACAUGUCCGCAUGAUUAAAGGUAUUUUCCGGUAGACGAUGGGG